UCACGGGUAACGGGCGGGUUACCGUCGGACUGCCGGAGAAGGCGCCUUGAGAGAUAGCGACUAUAUCCACGGGUAGCAGCAGGCGCGAAACUUUCCCACUCGAGACUUUCGGAGGAGGUAAUGACCAGUUCCAUUGGUGCCUUUUGGUACUGUGGAUAGGGGUACGGUUUUCCACCGUACCGAAACCUAGCAGAGGGCCAGUCUGGUGCCAGCAGCUGCGGUAAUUCCAGCUCUGCGAGUUUGCUCCCAUAUUGUUGCAGUUAAAACGCCCGUAGUCUGAAUUGGCCAGCAAUGGUCGUACGUAUUUUUACGUUCACUGUGAACAAAUCAGGACGCUUAGAGUAUGGCCACAUGAAUGACUCAGCGCAGUAUGAAGUCUUUGUUUUCUUCCGAAAACAAGCUCAAUGAGAGCCAUCGGGGGUAGAUCUAUCUCAUGACGAGUGGUGGAAUACUUUGACUCAUGAGAGAGAAGCUGAGGCGAAGGCGUCUACCUAGAGGGUUUCUGUCGAUCAAGGGCGAGAGUAGGAGUAUCCAACAGGAUUAGAGACCCUGGUAGUUCCUACCUUAAACGAUGCCGACAGGAGUUUGUCAUUUGUUAAUGGCAGAAUCUUUGGAGAAAUCAUAGUUCUUGGGCUCUGGGGGAACUACGACCGCAAGGCUGAAACUUGAAGGAAUUGACGGAAGGGCACACCAGGGGUGGAGCCUGUGGCUUAAUUUGAAUCAACACGGGGAAACUUACCAGGACCAGAUGUUUUUUAUGACUGACAGGCUUCGGGUCUUUCAGGAUAUUGUUUUUGGUGGUGCAUGGCCGUUGGUGGUGCGUGGGUUGACCUGUCUAGCGUUGAUUCAGCUAACGAGCGAGAUUAUCGCCAAUUAUUUACUUUGCCGAAGUCCUUCGGUUAAAGUUCUAAUUGGGACUCCCUGCGAUUUUAGCAGGUGGAAGAGGGUAGCAAUAACAGGUCCGUGAUGCCCUUUAGAUGCUCUGGGCUGCACGCGUGCUACAAUGUUAGGAUCAAUAGGACUGCGAGCCUGAGAGGGUGCGCUAC
rnacentral:ncRNA from 2 species